UUCUACGGCCAUGCUACUCUGAACAAGCCCGAUCCCGUCUGAUCUCGAAAGCUAAGCAGGGUUGGACCUGCUUAGUACUUGGAGGGGAGACCACCUAGAAAGACCAGGUGCUCUAAGUG
ensembl:rRNA 5S_rRNA 5S ribosomal RNA